rnacentral:rRNA from 34 species
GCGGCGGACGGGUGAGUAACACGUGGGUAACCUGCCCUAUAGACUGGGAUAACUCGCGGAAACGCGUGCUAAUACCGGAUAACACAUCAAAGUGCAUGCUUUGAUGUUGAAAGAUGGUUCUGCUAUCACUAUAGGAUGGGCCCGCGGCGCAUUAGCUUGUUGGUGGGGUAACGGCCUACCAAGGCGACGAUGCGUAGCCGACCUGAGAGGGUGAUCGGCCACACUGGGACUGAGACACGGCCCAGACUCCUACGGGAGGCAGCAGUAGGGAAUCUUCCACAAUGGGCGAAAGCCUGAUGGAGCAACGCCGCGUGAGCGAAGAAGGUCUUCGGAUCGUAAAGCUCUGUUGUAAGGGAAGAACAAGUGCAGUAGUAACUGGCUGCACCUUGACGGUACCUUACUAGAAAGCCACGGCUAACUACGUGCCAGCAGCCGCGGUAAUAC